AUGGAGUCUCGCUCUGCCACCGGGGCGGACGGCGCAAUCUCGGUUUACGGCAAGCUCCGCCUCCCGGGUUCCCGCCAUUUUCCUGCCUCAGCCUCCCGAGUAGCUGGGACUACAGAAAGGCAUAAGCCUGAUUUCUUUUGUUAGAAAUGAUUUAAAUUAGUUCAUCUGUAGGAUUCACUAAGACCAGGCUUGUUGAGAUAAAUGUAUUUCUAAUUAUGUGUUUAGAAUCUUAGGCAGGAUGUGUUGACCUCUGUCAGAGGAUUUAGCUGAACACAUUACUCAAACAUUUCUGUUAAAAUAUGGAGUGCUCAAGUCAGGAAGUAAUGCAUGAUAGGUUUUGAAGCUUGGAAAAAUAAUAAUGUUUAUUUUAUUUAAGUCUUUAAAAUUUUGAGAAUAGAAUCACUGAAACAUAAAGAAUGAGUUCCUAUGACAAUUCUGAGACUUAAAAUGAGAUGGAAAAUAUUCAGAAGUUGUUCCUGGAAUAAAAUUUGGUUUUAUUAUAAUUGUAGAUGGCUUUGAAUACAAAGAUCUUUAGAGGAUAUAUAUAUAUAUAUAUAUAGAGAGAGAGAGAGAGAGAGAGGCAUAGAAGAGUCUGAGUCUGAGAGUCCAGGCAUGGGUACUCUGGUACUGUACCUUCCUCCAUAUAAUUUUAUCUUAGAAAAAUUCUCUCUCCAAUCCUCAAUCUCUUCACUAUUAAGUGAAGAGGGUGGGUUUGCUUUAAUAAAAUUUGAGACUUAGAAGAAAGCUGAGAAGUCAUCUAGUUAGACUUCCUCAUUUUGUAGAUAAGAAUACUGUAUAAUGGUAUACACCCAGUAUACAUAGGAUGACUAUGAAAUUUGUUGAUUGUAAUGGUUAUAUAAAUAUAAUAACUGAGCAGAAUAAUUAUACUUGGUAUGUGUUUAUUUACCUUAAUCAGUUUCUUAACAUGAACUCAUCUGUCAUAUAUCAAUUGUAUAAUUUCUGAAAAACAUAUUUUUUUCUCAAAAUUGACUUAUUCUUGGGUUUCUCAUAAAAUUGCUUAUAAUACUAUAAAAAGUUACACUUGAUUAAUGAAUUUUGUAUGCUGACACUUAAUUGACCUUUCUCUGUAGAUCUUAUUCUGAAUUGAGUAAAUUCUCUCUACAGGUAAUUGGUAACUUCAGAAUAAAUUCUGCUAAAUGUGAUUAUAUUUUUAUAUU
rnacentral:lncRNA from 1 species